rnacentral:rRNA from 1 species
UACGGGGGGGGCAAGCGUUGUUCGGAAUUACUGGGCGUAAAGGGCUCGUAGGCGGUCAACUAAGUCAGACGUGAAAUCCCUCGGCUUAACCGGGGAACUGCGUCUGAUACUGGAUGGCUUGAGGUUGGGAGAGGGAUGCGGAAUUCCAGGUGUAGCGGUGAAAUGCGUAGAUAUCUGGAGGAACACCGGUGGCGAAGGCGGCAUCCUGGACCAAUUCUGACGCUGAGGAGCGAAAGCCAGGGGAGCAAACCGG